AUCGAUUUGCUGAAAAGUGCGCUAAAUGCUGCGACAGUUCCCUAAUCCAUGCCAAUUUGUUUCCUCCCUGUCCUGCCCCGUUUCGUUUCCAAUUAUUUCACCAAUUGGAAAAUGUGCAUAAUGUGAAGGCGAGUGACGCGUCCAGUUAAUCCAUUUAGAAGACAAUUUUAGUCGAGAUGGGGAGCAUGCAGGGCUUCUCCCUCGCCGUGACCCAUUGGAGCUUCGGGAUUAUCAUCCUAGUCGGCCUAGUUUCCUCCAAUUUCUCCUCAGCUGAGGCCAUUCUGGGGGUUUUGCUGGCUGGUUGUGCUUCCACGCUUUCAGCUAUAUGUAGUUAUACGCCGGAUGCCAGCGAGUCGCCUAAACCGCAGCGAACUUUGCUCAAUUUCCUGAUCCUUUGGCUGGAUGUUCUCAGCAACUUGGCGGCGGCUGCUGCAUGUGCUCGCGUGACUAGCGCUUCCAUUGACGUCCUGACCAAGAAUCACUUCAGGGAGCUGUUGCUUGGAAUGGAGCAGAGUGUGCUAGAUGAGCGCUGGCCCGACCUGGUGGGAGUCCUGGUCAUUCUAAUGGCCACUAUUAUCCGCAUGUUGGGCUUCGAGGUCGUCCACAAGUUCAGUGGGGCGGUGCUAUUUCUGGGGCUGCUCACCUACUUUGCCAUCUUCACCGUCAUCGGCAGCUUCCACACGGUAAACUCUUUUGAACAGUGGGUGGAUUCCCUGAAGCUUCACUCCUCAGUUGAGGUGUUGAGAGCCGGUGCGUUUUGCGCAUUCGCCUUCGUCCACAAACUGCCCACCACCACGAGAAACAACGGGCUGAAAAUCUUCACCAUUCUCUUCAUGCCAUUGUUGUUCUACGUCGUCCUUAUCAUUGUGUUCUCCUUCAUGACGCACUACAAGGAGCUGGAAGGUACCGCCAUCCCGCUGGUCAAAGUGUUCCAGAAUCGGGACGUGAACUGGGCCUGGCUGGCAAUUGCAUGGUUAACCGAAUGCCUCCCGAUUGUGUUGGUCAUCCAAAUCUUCCCUAGCGUCUACUUCGCCUUCCUUCGUUUGGCCAGCAAGGAGUGGAAGGUGUUUGUCAGCUCCAUUCAGUAUCAGAGCUUCUUGACUGGGGCGCCGGUGUUGGCCAUUUUUCCCGCAGGGAGUUUGAUGGCCAUUCUGGCCUUUGCCUGCCCUCUGGCUUAUCUGCUCAAGCUGCUCAAUGUGGCCUGUUUGCUGAAGUGCGCCCUUGCGUCCUGCUCCUUGAUGAACAACAGAUACCGGCCGGAUGUGUUGCACGCCCACCUUCAAGCUUUCCCAACAGCGAACGUGAAUUACAGCAAACUGGGGCCCCAGUCCAAGCCAGUAUCGCGGCAUCUGAUCAGCUUCAAGGAGCGAGUUAAGGGCCUGUUUAGGAAGACGCCUCAGUACAUCCACAAGCUCAGCUCCCCAAAAGGGCCCAGCCUGACGGUAGGCCGACCGCUUACAGAGGAGCAGGAGUGUCUGCUGUUCAAAGACGUCGAAAUCAACCAAGCGGCGCUGAGUUUUGAGAUGGGCGAGGGCAGCAAUUCGGAAACGGAGGAAAACGAAAUGGAGGCGCUGUCGGCCAGCGAUGAGGAGAGUUCGACGGACAUUGAUGGCAUCGUUGAGGAGUACAAGGAGGGAGUGAGGUUGCAGGUGGCCACCAUGGGGAGCUUCAAGCGCGCCACGCCGUCCACGAAAUUGACUCAAUUGGUUUUCUUGGUCUUUAUGACGGUGAUUGUGCUGAAUGCUGCCAGCAUUGCGCUGUCCAUCCAGAUAGUCAAGCGCUACUAUUGGGUGGAAAUACUUGCGCUCGCCCUGUGCAUCGUUGUGAUCAGCUGCCUGCCGGAAAACUCGGCGGAAAAGUCCAAGCCGUCACUGUUGCCGUCCUUCCUGUUUCCCCUGGGCCAUUCUUUGUCAAUUAAUGCCAACAUUCUGCUGGCUUCUAUGCUGCUUCCCAGCGUGUGGCUGGGGGUGGUGAUCUGGACGUUGUCAGGCCUGCUGCUCUACUGGAAGUGCGAUUGUUGCAAAUGCGAGCUCUUGGAGCCUUUGGUAGAACGCGUCACCUCCAAAGUGGACCCCCAGCAUGUGCUCUACCAGUACCAGGACAGCUUGGUUGAAAGCAUUGUAAUAGCCAGCUGACAUCCGGAGUGCUUCGACGACGACAGCUUGAUCACAGACUCUGAUGAGGCCAAUUAGGAGUUGGUCAGUCAACUAUGGGCAUAGCUGUAAGAAGUAAGAAAGAGCCUCUGAGAGAGUUAA
rnacentral:misc_RNA from 1 species